ACUCCUACGGGAGGCAGCAGUGGGGAAUAUUGCACAAUGGGCGCAAGCCUGAUGCAGCCAUGCCGCGUGUGUGAAGAAGGCCUUCGGGUUGUAAAGCACUUUCAGUCGUGAGGAAGGUAGUGUAGUUAAUAGCUGCAUUAUUUGUACGUUAGCGACAGAAGAAGCACCGGCUAACUCCGUGCCAGCAGCCGCGGUAAUACGGAGGGUGCGAGCGUUAAUCGGAAUUACUGGGCGUAAAGCGCAUGCAGGUGGUUUGUUAAGUCAGAUGUGAAAGCCCGGGGCUCAACCUCGGAAUAGCAUUUGAAACUGGCAGACUAGAGUACUGUAGAGGGGGUAGGAAUUUCAGGUGUAGCGGUGAAAUGCGUAGAGAUCGUGAAGGAUACCGGUGGCGAAGGCGGCCCCUGGACAGAUACUGACACUCAGAUGCGAAAGCGUGGGAGCAAACAGGAUUAAGAU
rnacentral:rRNA from 1 species